GACGAACGCUGGCGGCGUGCCUAAUACAUGCAAGUCGAACGCUUCUUUCCUCCCGAGUGCUUGCACUCAAUUGGAAAGAGGAGUGGCGGACGGGUGAGUAACACGUGGGUAACCUACCCAUCAGAGGGGGAUAACACUUGGAAACAGGUGCUAAUACCGCAUAACAGUUUAUGCCGCAUGGCAUAAGAGUGAAAGGCGCUUUCGGGUGUCGUUGAUGGAUGGACCCGCGGUGCAUUAGCUAGUUGGUGAGGUAACGGCUCACCAAGGCCACGAUGCAUAGCCGACCUGAGAGGGUGAUCGGCCACACUGGGACUGAGACACGGCCCAGACUCCUACGGGAGGCAGCAGUAGGGAAUCUUCGGCAAUGGACGAAAGUCUGACCGAGCAACGCCGCGUGAGUGAAGAAGGUUUUCGGAUCGUAAAACUCUGUUGUUAGAGAAGAACAAGGACGUUAGUAACGGAACGUCCCCUGACGGUAUCUAACCAGAAAGCCACGGCUAACUACGU
rnacentral:rRNA from 1 species